GGGUAGCCUAGUGGACAUGGCACCUGCCCGGUAAGCAGAAGGUUGUGGGUUUAUGGGGACCAGGGAUGCAGCACCCCGCCGACGCCG